UUUUAUAACUAGGAAUAAUUAAAUCUCUUAAUAUUGUCUUCUGAAACAAUUCCCAUCUAUUCAAAGGAGAAAAGGUUGAAGCUGAUAACCUUAAAAAUGUGCUGAGAAACAUGGGGAUCGAGCUAACAGAAAAAGAACACUCGAUGCUGUUAAAAACUCUGCCAGUCUGUGAUGGAAAGGUGUACAAGAAAAAAUUACUGGAUAGUGUGAAGCCUCUCAAAGGAAAAAAAGUCAGUGUCAGUAAUCUGGAAACUCUUCUAAAUAAUAUGGAAAUCGAAGUUGGGAAAGAGGAAUAUGAGGACCUACUGAACCAUCUGCCAGUUGAUGAAAAUGAAAUGGUUGAUGUGAAUGUGGUGAUGGAUGAAGCAAAAGCUUUUACAGGUGAGUCAGAAGUCAUGGUGAAAAGGGCAUUCAUUUUUAACUAAGACCUUAAUGCUCUAUAGAGAAAAAAUUUGAAUGUUUUUAAACAGUAGAUAGAUUUUGGCUGGGCAUGUGGGCUCACAGCUGUAACCCCGGCACUUUGAGAGGCUGAGGCAGGAGGAUCACUUGAGGCCAGGAGUUCAAGACCAGCCUGGGCAACAAAGCAAUACCAUGUCUCUACAAAAAAAAAAAAAAAAUUAGCUGGGCAUGGUGGCACGUGCCUGUAUUCCCAGCUACUUGGGAGGCUGAGGCAGCUGAGCCCAGGGGUUUGAGGCUUCAGUGAGCUUUGAUUACCACUGCACUCCUGCCUGGGAGACAGAGCAAAAACCUGUCUCAUAAAAAAUAUAUUUAAAUAGUAGUUUUCUCUUCAGACUAUUACUAACAUGCUAAAUUGACACCCUUACAAAUUUAACGGUUAAAUGUUUGUUUCGUAAUGUUACUCUUUGAUUUGGGAUUUUUCCUGUAGACACUUAUGUUAUGUAGAGGUUUUGUUUGUUUUGUUGUUGUUGUUGUUGUUUGUUUGUUUGUUUGUUUUCUGAAAUGGAGUCUCGCUCUUGUUGCCUGGGCUGGAGUGCAGUGGCGUGAUCUCGGCUCACUGCAACCUCCACCUCCCAGGUUCGAGUGGUUCUCCUGCCUCACCCUCCCAAGUAGCUGGAAUUACAGGUGCCCACUACCACACCUGGCUAAUUUUUGUGUUUUUAGUAGAGACGGGGUUUCACCAUGUUGGCCAGGCUGGUCUUGAACUCCUGACCUCAGGUGAUCCACCCACUUCGGCCUCCCAGAGUGCUGGGAUUACAGGCGUGAGCCACUGCACCUGGCUGGUAAUUUUUUUCAUAAUUUGAAAUCAUUAUUCUCUUCCUAAAAUUCUUAUAUGUUAACAAUUCCCAUCUUUCCAAAGGAGAAAAAGUUAAUGUCAGUAAUCUGGGGAAUGAGCUGAGGAAAAUGGGGCUCGUACUCACUGAUGAGGAGCACAAGAAGCUGCUGAAAACUCUGCCAAUUUGCAGUGAGUAUUUACCACAUCCUUUGAAGCUUGGAUUUAGGGGCUUGUGUGUGAAAACUUCUUAAAUUAUGCAUGUAUAUGCCCAGUAAACCUCAUUUAGAAAACACGGUCAUCACACGAAAAGAAAUCUUGGCCAGAUGUGGUGGCUCAUGCCUGUAAUCCCAGCACUUUGGGAGGCUGAGGUGGGCAGAUCAAAAGGUCAGGAGUUUGAGAACAGCCUGGCCAACAUGGUGAAACCCUGUCUCUACUAAAAAUACAAAAAUUAGCCAGGCGUGGUGGCGUAUGCCUGUAAUCCCAGCUACAUGGGAGGCUGAGGCAGGAGAAUUGCUUGAACCUGGGAGGUGGAGGUUGCAGUGAGCCAAGAUUGUGCCACUGCACUCCAGCCUGGGUGACAGAGCAAGACUCCAUCUCUAAAAAAAAAAAAGAGUCUGGUUGCCUGCUUUUGUUGCUUAUAUUUUAAUACUGAAAGCUAGCAACAUCUUUCACUGGGGUUGUCCCACCAUCCAGGCUAAAUUAUCCUGUCGCCCUGGGAGCACUGCCUA
rnacentral:lncRNA from 10 species